rnacentral:lncRNA from 1 species
GUGAGUAGAGGGCAUUCUAAUCCUGCUUCCUUUCCACUCUUCCAGGAAGAUUUGGAGGGCUCCUGCUCCUUUCCUCUCCCCAUAGGGCCUAAGGCUCCCCUCACCUGCCCAGUGGAGGGCUCAGGGGUACUGCUCCCCACUGUCAGUGAGUAUUAGGUGUGGAGGCAAGUGCCCUGUAAUUCUGCAGCUCAUCUCCUCUGCCGUGGCCUGAUUCUAUGGGUCGGACCUCUACCUGCUUCCUCCCACAGGGCUGGAAGCCCAGACAUGGUCUACCCCACUUUCCUUGCCAGAUCCUCUGGCCUCUCUUCCCAGCCCAGGACCUGAAUUGCCUAGAUCGCAGCUCCCAGAAGGAGAGAGCUGCAGAGACGUCAGAUGGAGGCCAUAGAGUGAGGAUGCCAGGAUGCCCAGGACCUCAGUUUGAAAACCACUGAGCUGCCAAUCCCACCUCCUGAUUUUACAGAUGCUGAAUGUAAGAGGAGAACUUGGUAGCUGACACAAAGCUCCAUCCAGGAUCCAGUCCCUUCUCCACGAGAUUCAGCAUCAGUCAGCAGUGAUCCCAUGACCACUGGGAACCAAACGCUGUCCUAGGCCUUCCUUGUGCUCCCUCUCCAUCUCCAGCCAAAGUGGGUCGAGCUGAGGGACAGGGAGGUGAUCUGGAAAGAGCAAGUGCAACUCUCUGCUCUGCCGUGUAUCAGCUGUCUGUUUAAUCACAUCCUCAGAACCUCAACUUCUUCACCUAUAAAAUGUG